AAAGCUGUUAAAGCAAAAGACCCUAUAGAUAUUCUCAAUAUCAAGCUUAAAAGAUUUAAAAACUUCUUUAAAGGGUGGGGAUCCCGCAAAUAUGGUCAUGAUAAAAAAAGGAAGGAAGAGCUUAGGCUGGAACUAGCUGUUCUGGAAGAGCUGGAAGAAGAAGGCCCUCUGCUACCUGAGAUGUAUAACAGAAAAGUUGACAUUAAUUUCGAGUUGCAUAAGAUUCUGGUGAAUGAGGAAAUUUUCUGGCUCCAACAGUCCCAUGACUGCUGGCUGCUCAAAGGGGACCUUAACACUGAUUACUUUCACAAGAUAGCCAAUGGGCGAAAGAGGAAAAACACCAUUCACACUUUGAAAUGUGGAGAUAUGGAGAUUGAGGGCACUGAUAACCUAAUCUCACAUGCCAUGGAGUUUUAUAAGAAUUUGUUCGGUCCAGCACCUGGUAACAUCUUUCACAUGGACCCUAGUUCGUGGGAUGAUUCGGAAAAACUUACGCCAUAAAAUAAUGAAGAUCUGACUAGGGAGUUUUCUGUGGAGGAGGUGAAGGAGGCUCUGUUUGCUAUGGAUACCAAUAGAGCACCCGGCCUGGAUAAUAUCCCUGCAGAGUUCUACCAACAUUGUUGGGAUAUUGUCAAAAAUGACAUUAUGAGGAUUUUUAGACACUUCCAUGAUGGGACGCUUGAUGUGUAG
rnacentral:rRNA from 1 species